UGGAGUUUCCAUGCAUUUCACUGAGAAAGCACUGCCACCUUUGACAUUUCUGGGCUAGCCAGCAGGAUGACUUUCAUUCCUUUAAGGCCCUAAUUUAACCAAAACAGUGGAUAAGAAUCACUUGGGCGUUACCCGCUUCCUCGUCUGGGAUUCUGCAGCACAUUGUACAGAAAUUUUGGCUGUAUGGGUUUAUUUAAGAGAGCUACCUCUUCCUUUCAUGACACACUCUCAGAGGAUGACAUCAUUGUGAGAAGGGGCACUCUUUUGUAAGGGAAGCAGGAUUCUUGAAAGGGAAAAACACACUCAUCAUUACAAAUUGCUCCAAAGGUCAGCGAUUGUAGUGCUGCAACAGCCAACCUUUCUGCUGAGACAAUCCUGUCUCCCUUCUCAGCAGAGGCUCUCAGCUCUGCAAAGGCACUGAAAAUCAGGGCAAAGUCAAACUGCAGGAAAGCCAGCAGCCUGCUCAUUAAGCUUUCACAUGUCUCUUUAUCCUCAUUAUUCCAAAGGCCUUAAUGUUAUUCUGAGAUGACUUUUAAGGCAACCUAACUAAUAUGGGUUAGGUAGUGGUUAUAAUUUCUUGCUAAAAUCUGCUCAGUGAUGUUAUUCUGGGAUUAUUUUAAUGAGAGUUGGACAUAAAAUAUGUCUUGGCUGACAUUACUGAACUGCCUCACACCAAAUCACAAUUCCCAUAUAAUGCCUUUUGGAAGGCAUCCUACUUCACUCUUUAGCAUUGUAGCAAUGAAAUUGUAUCUUGCUUGUUUAAUUACCAUUAAGCCUAUGAUUAAAGAUAGAUCUAUCUGUACACUCUUAUUCUGCUGCAUCCAUGCAAAGUGUAAGUUUAAAUCAGUGUUUUUCUGGAGCUGCCAGCCACCAGAUACCUAGUAAUCUCUUACUUGCAUAGACCCCCCAAAUUUUACCCAGCUGCCUACAUAAACCAGCUAAAGGAGGAGAAGUAGAAUCUUUUACAAACCUUUAAAUUUUUGGCAGCAGAAUUGCUGGCAUGUUAUGCUAGGUUUCACAUCUAGGCUGCAUUAAGACAAAAUUGGGAAACAGAGAAAAACAUGGAGAAAGUAAAUUUGAAAUCUUGGCUUUGAUGAUGAGUUAUAUAAAUGAUGUUAGGUAUGGUUUUGGUAUCACCGCAGCGCACACUAAAGAAUACAAAUGAAGGAAAAAUAAGUCAGUAUUGGUGCAAGAUAAUUUGCAAACACUACUUCUGCAUCCAAUGCCACUUCUGGGUUAAGAUGAUUUAAAUCUGCUUGUAUCAUACUGAUCGUUUAGAUCCCUCCAGAGAAGAUGUUGUCACCCCACAAGUUAUCUUUCUCUCUCUUCCUUCUGCAGACAGACACAACAGCCCUCCCUACCCCAACAUUUGCUGUUUUCACCUUGUUCUUAGCCAGUUUUUAGCAGUCUUCUUAGGUUGGGAUCAUAUAAACGCACGUCAGCGUUGACCAUCAGAUUAUGAAUUAUAUUUACACUGAGUGCAAAACAAAAUCUCUCGUGUCUGUCUCUGGCCAAGCCAGGAUUCCAGGCUCUCUGCUUUGUGCACAGGCUGAGGCAAAGUUACAGCAGUGGGUGCAAAAGUGAGAUAACCACUUUUGUUAGGACAGAGAAGGGAAGCUACAGCCUCCAAAGUUAAUCAUGUUUAUGAUGUGACUUUUCCUUCAGAUUUCUGAACAUUUGAACCUCCCCAGUAUGUUAUCCAGAUAGCUCUACAAAUGAGAAGUUAGGAGUCCUAUUGCUUGCUUACUACCCUCAGAUAAUGUCUAAAUUACAUUUUGAAUGGUUUAUGUUAAGGGAGAUAUUCAUGUACCUUCACACACCUGCCAAAAGAAACAUUCCCAAAACAGGAAAAGCAGUGGUUACCCUGAAAACACAGUGCAGUUGACUCAGAGGCCACACAGAACCUGGAAAGUGGUUUUAUUUUUCAAAAUGUGUUCUGUUGUGGAGGUGAGGCGAGUGCCAGUGGUACUGCGUGGCCUGGGAGGAAGAGAAGGGAUGGGAAUAUCCGUGUUCCCUGGGAGAUGCCUGUGGCCAGGACGUACGCAGCACCUACCAGAACCUGCUCAUGCUUCCAGCUCAACACACAUCCCAGGGGAAGGAUGCCUCCAGAUGCUGGUGGGAAUUGAAGCCAUCUGCAAGGAAAGAGAAAGAUGCAGCGUGGUAAGCAACUGAAACAGUGACCUCUGGCCUAAAAGCAGCCAUCCCACCCCUCUUUUCCCAGGGCAGAAGAGGAAAGCUGUGCUGGGAUGGGAAUGCUGGCAAAUCGGCUCUGUGCCUCGCAUUAUCUCUACCAGCCUGACACAGAAAAUCUGGCCUUGGCAUGGGCUCUGAGUGCUGGGGGAGCUCAGUAAAAACAUCAGUGAGAGGACCCUCAGCAGGAAAAGACAGGUUUGCAUGGUCCUUUGCCCACUUGAGUGAGUGGGGUGGCAGAGGACCUGCAAGUGUGGCAGAAUGCUGCAUGUUCUGCUUGUGGGCAGCAGAAAUUCAGGGCUCCCACCUGCAGCACCCAAAUGUAAGUAGCAGAUUCUGUGGGCAGACAAAAAUAGCAGCACACUAACAAGCUGGCAGGAGCAUCUCUUGAGUCGCAGUGAGUGCCUCAGUAUUGCUGUUACAGCUUUUGAUCAAAAUUGGUUGUUUCUUUUUUUUUCCUUUCCUGAAAGGCUGCCUUUAUAUGCACUAUUUGAAAUGGAUGUGAAGUUUGGAACUGAAGAACUUCUAAAUAUUAAAUAUAAUUAUCUUCAAGUCUCCAUUUUCAAAAAGGGUAAGACAGCUUUAUAGCAAAGCAAGUCAAGGCUAUGGAAAAUAUUUCAAUGACAUUGGCUCAAGAAAAGGGUUUCUUUGAAGGGCACUAAAGGAACUUUUCUGUUAAAUACCUGGAGAUACAAAUUCACCCCAUAACCAGUGCUGUAGGAAAUGACCUGAAAUACCAAUGUUUUAUGGUAUUUAUUGAGGAGUUUUACAUUCUUUUCAUUCAAAGGCAUCUGUGAAGUACACUAUUUUCAAAUCAAAUAAGAACGUUGGAGUUUACCAUCUCUGGGGGUGGAAGCCAGGAUGUGAUGCACUCACUGCAAACCCUACUGGAACUGACCCUGCAGCAUCUCUGAAAUGCAAAAGCCACACCCAGAAAACUUUAGAUGCCCUAAGCAACAUUAAGGGGACUAUAUGACCCUAACUCUGAAAUCCCAAACCCUGCCUGUUUAAUAACUCCUGGAACUUACUGGACUGUUUUCCUGACUCCCCUCUCUGACCAGCUUGGUCGGAGGCACCUCAGGGUUUUUCCUUCUUAUUUCCUGGCUCCUGCUUUAACCUUACUGGGACGAGGUCCUAGCAGGUCCACUGUCUCCUCUGAGGUCCAGCUCAUGCUGUGGCAGCAGCAUCCAGCUUUUACAUGCUCACAAGAUGGCUCCUGGGAUUAUUUAUCUUGUUUGUUUUUGUUCAAUCCAAUAGUUAUUUAAUAUAAAAAUCAUAUAAAGUGAUAGGAGCAAAUCUCCCCUUCCUUGGGAGUUCCUUCAUUUAUAGAAUUUAUGGAUUUAGAGAUUCUCAUUGUUAUGAUAGUUUUUUCUCUAAGAAAUUAAUAAUUCCUUCUUUUUUUUGCAGACUUGCUGAGUCUCUUAGAGCUGAGUGGAUGACAAUUUUUUCACAAUGAGGGUUGUUUAAAGGGAAGUAUGUGAUGGCAAGUUUCUUCCUGACAAAAAGGUACUCCCAGGAAGAACACCAGCUUGCCUGGAUCGCAGAGCAGCAGCACUGCAGAAAUUUGUUACUGAGUCUGUAACACCCUGUGUGAUUUGAGAGUACCUAAAGGAAAAUAUAAAGCUUCUGUCCAAUAUUAUGAAACCUCUAUGCCAGAAAUCUUCUGGGAAUGCAGCACAGCAUCUCUUGUCAAGUCUUGUCAUGAAUCUUCCAGACAAGAAGGGGUUUCUAAACCUUGUGAAUUAUCCUUCCAUAAGUUGCUUCCUGUAGCAAAGGGGCCCUGGGACACCCUUUUUGAAGCUCAUCUAGAGAAGCAGAUCCUGAGGAGCGAGAACAAGGAGCUGAAAAAUCCCUCCUGAAGCAUUUUCCUGCAGAGGCAGAGGCAUGCCACCAUGUGAGAUUAAUAGAUUCAUAUGGCAGACAGCCUUGUGUUUUUUCUGAGGUGUGUUCUCGUGUAAGUGCUCUCCAAAGAGACAUGCUGGCAGCUGAAAUAAUGGUCACGUUCACUCAAAGAGUGUGCUAGGCCCAGGUCCCUGGAUAGCUCUGGUUACCUGCAAAGGACAGGGUUCUGAGGGAGCCCUGCAUGGAGGUUUUUAUGUGACAGCAGGAGGAGGUGCUUUCUUCCUUGUUUACGUUAGUGUAAAGCAUGAGAAGCCAGACAGUGAAUGAUCUCCAGCCAGACCACCCAGAGGGUGCACAUGGGUGUCCACAGAAUGACCAUCUCUGCACUGUGGUGAUGGGGGUGGCAGCUCUGCAUCAUCUCUGCAUGCAUAUUUUGUCCUAUUACGUGCACAAAACCACAGUCCCACGCUCCUCAAGGUUGACCCUGACAACCACAAUGCAGCUGACAGAGUUAAUGUUUAAAAAUAAAAGAUGCCUCCAUGGGAAUAUCCUCAUGGGGCAGAAAAAGGGAGAUACUGCUGGUGAGGUUCAAAUCUAUUGUUUGUAAGAGAGGUCUGAAAGAAGUAUGAGAGAAGAAUAAUAUCCCAUAUUCUUUCUUUGACCCAUGAGAAUAUGGAGUAUCUGAAAACUGAACUUCCCUGUAAGAGGACAAAAAAAAUGACCAGCCUCAAAUGGUUUGGGGGUCUCUGCAUGAGAAUAUAUCUAUUUGUCUGCUUUUAGGUAGAAACUCUCAGCAAAAAAAAAAACCCUUACAUUUUGUAAUCAGCCUAUCUGACUGACAUUCUAAAACUGACUUCAUUUUUCUCAUGGGAAAGGAAAACAGGGAGAUUUUUGCUUUAGUUAUAUAUUUCCCCUCAAAAUAAAAAGCAGCUAGAUCAAGAGCAGCUUUAGGACACGGAAACAAGUAAAAUUCCCAGGGCAAAAAUACCUAGAGAGAAGUUCAGAAGUUAAGCAGCAAAUUUCACUGACUAUACGUCUCCCAUUGCAUGGUCAGAUUAUUUUCUAAAGUACGCCACUGGCAUCCAUAUCAUCCACUGUAUCUUAAGGUGUGUAAGGGAAUGGGGAAUUUGUCUGAAGACCAUAAACUGUUAUCAGUAUUCAGAAUGACUCACACAAGCCAUGUUAAUUGCAGUUAAACAGACAUUACUGGCAACAAGCAAUAGAGUAGAAGCGAGAAGCAGAUUUUUGGUCUGAUUUUGAGACAAUAUGAGAAUACCCCGCGGGUUUUUUCAUCCUUUUUUUUUUUUUUUGUUGGUGUUUUUUUUUUGUACACCUUUUGAAUGUUAAUAUUGUGCUGAAGAAGAUUUCAGACCCUCUUCAGAGUGGCUGCUGUACUCAGCCAGGCAGGAUCCACUGCAGAGCUGCUGAGGCAGGGCUGAAACUAUAGCCUCACUUUAAGAAAACGACAGCAUUGUGAGCUGAUUGCUUCUUACACACGAAUAGGGUUUUCAAUUGAAUUUGUGGGGCUUUUUUGUGUAAAAUUCUAAGCCUUAAAACCACAGCUUUUUAACUUGCGUAUUCACCAUUCCUUUGACAGUCCCUGAUCAUUUAUGUUUAGAAAUAUAAGUGCAGAAGAAUGGAAGCUAACUACCUCUUAACUGCUGUGGGAAAUGGUUCAAGUUCCCUCUCAACUAGAUGAAGAGAAAGACAUUUCCUCAUAAUUGCACCCCGAAGUGGGAGGUGAUGACUCUGAUCAAGGGAAUGUGGAACAAUGUUCAAGUGAGGCAAUUUGAUUCCUGUGUGGAGUUUGGAAGCUGCUAACUGAGGACUAUUUUGGAGAACUUGGCUGGCCAGCAUCUCUGAUACCAGACCAGACUUUGAAUGAAAAGAUAGUUAUUCCAGCCCUCAAAGGAGUCUCUGGCACAUCGCUAUGCCUCACAAGGAUAUGUAUUUGCUCUGGAAAGGCUGAAAUAUUAAUGAGAUUGCAAAGGGAGGGUCUGUGUGCUAAUGCAGCUGUGCUCUGCAGCUCUGCAUCACUCUGUGAACUCUGAGCAAAUGUGUAAUGCUUAAUUUUGAAAAAGUGGUCCAUGAAGCAUAAAUUCAUAAUCUUUUACCACACACACACCCUGAAGAAGGCCUGGAGGCACCUGAUGUGUGGCUACCUGGCCUGUGAGCCUGUUGGGAUGCAUCCACAAGGAUUUUGCAGGUUCAGAGCCCUACAGAGGUUUUACACCCACCCACAUGAGUUGUUCAACAAGUUCAAGGAGUCGAAAGGAAUUGUAACUUCUUUUCUGAUCUGGAGACUGUUUGGUAGGAACUUAUAUUAAAUUUGGCUCAAAAAUCAACAAACUUGCACAUGUCCAUGACCACAGAGAAGCAGCUCACAGACCCCCACCAACUGUAUGGAAGAUGAAAACCUUUGAUCUACAGCAAGCCUGGGAUUGUGGCAGUGACCUGAAUUUUCUUCUACACAGACUCUAAUUUUUUUUUUCCAUCCUGGUUUAUUUAAAUACGCUUAGUCAUAUGUCUGUGCUUAUGGCAAAUGUUCUAUUCACACUGAUGUCGUCUGCCUGAAAAUAAAGGUAUUGGUUUCCCACCUUGCACAUCCUAUUUUCAGUACUUCUGGAGUUCUGCUGCAGAGUUCUGUACCCUUAUAAUAGAUAGAUUUGGUGAAAUUUCUGCAGCAUUAAUAUGUGAAGCUGCCAUGGCUCCUCUUCUUUUGUCAGCCUCACUCUAAAAGCAGCUGACACGACAGCAAUUUCUCUAUUUUCUCCUCUUGGCACACCAGUGGACAAUCCCCAUCAUGCCCUUAAAUGUCUGUAUUACCAUCUUCAUGAUCCAGAAGAAGCAUGAAGGAGCAAAAGGUCUUUUUCAAGGCACCAGAGACAAAGAAGACUUAUUAUCAGUGCUAAAGCAGGAUGUGUGAAGUGUUUUCCAUGUUGAAGUGACCUUGUGCUAGUUUAAAGUAGAAAACGCAUCCUUCACUUCUAAUAAAAUGGUGAAACACAGUGA